CUCAGAACUUAAAGGAAUUGACGGGGGCCCGCACAAGCGGCGGAGCAUGUGGAUUAAUUCGAUGCAACGCGAAGAACCUUACCUGGGGUUUGACAUACACCGGAAAACCGUAGAGAUACGGUCCCCCUUGUGGUCGGUGUACAGGUGGUGCAUGGCUGUCGUCAGCUCGUGUCGUGAGAUGUUGGGUUAAGUCCCGCAACGAGCGCAACCCUUGUCUUAUGUUGCCAGCACGUGAUGGUGGGGACUCGUAAGAGACUGCCGGGGUCAACUCGGAGGAAGGUGGGGACGACGUCAAGUCAUCAUGCCCCUUAUGUCCAGGGCUUCACACAUGCUACAAUGGCCAGUACAGAGGGCUGCGAGACCGUGAGGUGGAGCGAAUCCCUUAAAGCUGGUCUCAGUUCGGAUCGGGGUCUGCAACUCGACCCCGUGAAGUCGGAGUCGCUAGUAAUCGCAGAUCAGCAACGCUGCGGUGAAUACGUUCCCGGGCCUU
rnacentral:rRNA from 1 species